rnacentral:tRNA from 1 species
AAUAAAAUGCCCGAUUAAAGGAUUAUCUUGAUAGGAUAAAAUAUGUACUAUGUACUUUUAUUA